AACAUCGCGCACCUGCGGGAACCUGCGGAAGGAUCAUUACAGAGAUUGAUGCACCAAGUGCAUCACCUCCAACCCCUUGCGAAAAUAACUAUCAUGUGUUGCUUUGGCAGUGUUUCCACUGCCAGAGGUUUACAUAAAAUCAGCUGUUUGGAUGUUGUCUGAGUAAACUAUAUGAAUUAUUUAAAACUUUCAACAACGGAUCU
rnacentral:misc_RNA from 1 species